rnacentral:tRNA from 1 species
GGUAAGGUGGCCGAGAAGGCAGCAGGUUGUAGCCCUGUGCAGGCGGGUCUUAGCCCCGCCCUUAUCA